rnacentral:tRNA from 3 species
CGAGGUGUGGCUCAGUCCGGUAGAGCACCUGCUUUGGGAGCAGGGGGCCGGGGGUUCAAAUCCCUCCACCUCGACCA